GAAAUGGUUUAUAGUGGUGGAACACCAGCUUUAGAUGCAGAAGGUCCUAGGUUCAAUCCCUGUGAGAGACU